rnacentral:rRNA from 1 species
GAUGAACGCUAGCUACAGGCUUAACACAUGCAAGUCGAGGGGUAGCAGGGUAGCAAUACCGCUGACGACCGGCGCACGGGUGAGUAACACGUAUCCAACCUUCCCAUAACUCAGGAAUAGCCUUUCGAAAGAAAGAUUAAUACCUGAUAGCACUUAAGAAAGGCAUCUUUUUUAAGUUAAAGAUUUAUCGGUUAUGGAUGGGGAUGCGUUCCAUUAGAUAGUUGGUGAGGUAACGGCUCACCAAGUCUUCGAUGGAUAGGGGUUCUGAGAGGAUGGUCCCCCACAUUGGUACUGAGACACGGACCAAACUCCUACGGGAUGCAGCAGUGAGGAAUAUUGGUCAAUGGGCGAGAGCCUGAACCAGCCCAGUAGCGUGAAGGAUGAAGGUCCUAUGGAUUGUAAACUUCUUUUAUAGUAGAAUAAAGUGAGCCACGUGUGGUUUUUUGUAUGUAUACUAUGAAUAAGGAUCGGCUAACUCCGUGCCAGCCGCCGCGGUAAUAC